rnacentral:rRNA from 1 species
GACAGAGGGUGCUAGCGUUGUUCGGAUUGACUGGGCGUAAAGGGCGCGUAGGCGGUUCUAUUAGUCAGGCGUGAAAGCCCCGGGCUUAACCCGGGAAUUGCGUUUGAAACGGUAGAACUAGAGAUCGGGAGAGGAAAGUGGAAUUCCUAGUGUAGAGGUGAAAUUCGUAGAUAUUAGGAGGAACAUCAGAGGCGAAGGCGGCUUUCUGGAACGAUACUGACGCUGAGGCGCGAAAGCGUGGGGAGCAAACAGG